rnacentral:rRNA from 1 species
ACCACACGAAGCUGGAAUCGCUAGUAAUCGCGAAUCAGAAUGUCGCGGUGAAUACGUUCCCGGGUCUUGUACACACCGCCCGUCACACCAUGGGAGUCAGCAACGCCCGAAGUCAGUGACCUAACCGAAAGGGAGGAGCUGCCGAAGGCGGGGCCGGUAACUGGGGUGAAGUCGUAACAAGGUAGC